GGCACCCCUCAAGCACACACCCAGGAGGGAUGCUGCGAUGAGUUGGUGGAGCCCAACAGGACCUCGUGAGACACAUGGACAGAGUGCAAACAGGCAUGGAAAACAGAGUUCUGGACCUCUCAGAGACAAACACUUGCCUAGAAGAUGGAUCUGUGUGUGAUAUAAAUCCCAGUGGUAGCCAUUUCAGCUUGGAUCUGGAAGUUCCAACCCCCAUUGAGACUCUGGCA